AACGCGAAGAACCUUACCUGGGUUUGACAUCCUCGGACCGCCACAGAGAUGUGGUUUUUGUAGCAAUACAACCGAGAGACAGGUGCUGCAUGGCUGUCGUCAGCUCGUGUGGUGACAUGUUGGGUUAAGUCCCGCAACGAGCGCAACCCUUGUCCUUAGUUGCCAGCAUUCAGUUGGGCUCUCUAAGGAGACUGCCGUGGUUAACACGGAGGAAGGUGGGGAUGACGUCAAGUCCUCAUGGCCUUUAUAUCCAGGGCGACACACGUGAUACAAUGGACGGUACAGAGGGAAGCGAAACCGCGAGGUGGAGCCAAUCUCAAAAAGCCGUUCUCAGUUCGGAUUGGAGUCUGCAAUUCGACUCCAUGAAGUUGGAAUCGCUAGUAAUCGCGGAUCAGCACGCCGCGGUGAAUACGUUCCCGGGCCUUGUACACACCGACUGUAC
rnacentral:rRNA from 1 species